GAUGAACGCUGGCGGCGUGCUUAAUACAUGCAAGUCGAACGGAGACAGUAGCAAUAUUGUCUUAGUGGCGAACGGGUGAGUAACGCGUUGGUGACCUGCCCCGCAGAGGGGGAUAACAGUCCGAAAGGAUUGCUAAUACCCCAUGUGGUCAUUUGGAUUAGAUGCCUUAUGACUAAACGGAUUUAUUCGCUUCGGGAGGGGCCUGCGUCCCAUCAGCUAGUUGGUAAGGUAAUGGCUUACCAAGGCGAUGACGGGUAGGGGACCUGAGAGGGUGGGCCCCCAAAAUGGAACGGAAACGCGGUCCAUAAGCCUACGGGUGGCAGCAGUAGGGAAUAUUGGUAAUGUGCGAAAGCGCGAACCAGCAACGCCGCGUGCGCGAUGAAGGCCUUCGGGUUGUAAAGCGCUUUUUAUGGGGAUGAAGAAGGACAGUGCUCAUAGAAUAAGCCUCGGCUAACUACGUGCCAGCCGCCGCCGUAAUAC
rnacentral:rRNA from 1 species